UACGGGGGGGGCUAGCGUUGUUCGGAAUUACUGGGCGUAAAGCGCGCGUAGGCGGCUUUGUAAGUUAGAGGUGAAAGCCCGGAGCUUAACUCCGGAACUGCCUUUAAGACUGCAUCGCUAGAAUUGUGGAGAGGUAAGUGGAAUUCCGAGUGUAGAGGUGAAAUUCGUAGAUAUUCGGAAGAACACCAGUGGCGAAGGCGACUUACUGGACACAUAUUGACGCUGAGGUGCGAAAGCGUGGGGAGCAAACAGG
rnacentral:rRNA from 1 species